GGGGGUGUCUUAGUUGCGCAGUGCUCACAGUUUUUCUAUAAUGAUUAAUGUAGUUGAUCAUUAAAAUUCAUUUAAAGCAUAAACCCAAGCUAAAAGGACAACAAGCUUAUCAAGCACUCAUGGUACAGCUUUUUAUUAAACACGCAUUGAUAUAUAUACAUUAAACAGCAAAAUGAUUAUUGAUGCAAGAUGUCAUUAAAUAAUAAUUUUUACUCUUUUUAUGUGUAGGACAAGAACUAUAGAAGAUACAGAGAAAUUAUAAACAGCAGAAAUGAUAGGCAAUUUAAAAUUUGCAGAAGUCAACAAAUCCUAAAUGGUGAUCAGACAUCUUGGUUUUCAUGAUCAAUAGGUCAAUACUGAAGAGGACACUGAAAGUUGAUAUCUAUCUACAUGGUGCGCUAAUUGGAUUAAUGUGAGAUGGAAUGUGUGAUUGCCUGCAAAAAAGAAAUAGGAAAUUUCAUCAUAAUCACAUGAUAAUGGCUAUAAACAAAAUGGAGUUCUAUCAUAGAUGCAGAAAUUCACAAUUGUAUACAUGUAAAUGCAACAACAUAUUAUAUAUAUUUGUCGAAAGAAGGGAGAAAUGAAGAAAAAAAUAGUAUUUUGUUGUUGAAAGGAACACCAGCUUUAUCCACUCAUUUCAUCGUUACCUCAUAUCAAAUAUACUGAAGAAGAUCUUCGAAGAACAAAUUGCAAAAAUGUUUUCUCUAAGAAUUGAAGGAAAUUGUUUAGUGAAUGGAAUAAUUUAUGCAUUGAACUUUUACGUAGUGGAUUGAAUAACUGUACACACAUGACACAGCAGCUGAAACAGAGGAAAAUUAAAAUUUACAAGAAAAGUGUUUAUUUUAUUAUUUAAUUUGCAAAUAUGAACGCAUUCUUAAGAACACCACAAAUGGUAUGACAUCCAAAUUGGUUGCUUAUUAAUGUAUACAAUUGAAACAAUAACAAAGAAAACAGAAUACUUUGCUACAAAAAAUAUUUAAUAAAUCAAAGUUAAAGUCUUAUAAAGUAUGUACAAUAUCUUGACCUAAACAGUCAGACUCACUGUAUUGUUUUUGUAUGUCAUGAUAAUUUUGAGGCAAAAAUUUAUUAAAGUUUUAAAUAUCA